AUUGAACGCUGGCGGCAUGCCUUACACAUGCAAGUCGAACGGUAACAGGUCUUCGGAUGCUGACGAGUGGCGAACGGGUGAGUAAUACAUCGGAACGUGCCCGAUCGUGGGGGAUAACGAGGCGAAAGCUUUGCUAAUACCGCAUACGAUCUACGGAUGAAAGCGGGGGAUCUUCGGACCUCGCGCGGACGGAGCGGCCGAUGGCAGAUUAGGUAGUUGGUGGGAUAAAAGCUUACCAAGCCGACGAUCUGUAGCUGGUCUGAGAGGAUGAUCAGCCACACUGGGACUGAGACACGGCCCAGACUCCUACGGGAGGCAGCAGUGGGGAAUUUUGGACAAUAGGCGAAAGCCUGAUCCAGCCAUGCCGCGUGCAGGAUGAAGGCCUUCGGGUUGUAAAAUGCUUUUGUACGGAACGAAAAGCCUCUUUCUAAUAAAGAGGGGUCAUGACGGUACCGUAAGAAUAAGCACCGGCUAACUACGUG
rnacentral:rRNA from 1 species